rnacentral:rRNA from 1 species
UACCAGCACCCCGAGUGGUCGGGGCGAUUAUUGGGCCUAAAGCAUCCGUAGCCGGUCCUGCAAGUCUUCCGUUAAAUCCAGCUGCUCAACAGAUGGGCUGCGGGGGAUACUACAUGGCUAGGAGGCGGGAGAGGCAAGCGGUACUUUAUGGGUAGGGGUAAAAUCCGUUGAUCCAUAGAAGACCACCAGUGGCGAAGGCGGCUUGCCAGAACGCGCUCGACGGUGAGGGAUGAAAGCUGGGGGAGCAAACAGG